ensembl:lncRNA novel transcript, antisense to PCDHA5, PCDHA4, PCDHA3, PCDHA2 and PCDHA1
GGAAACACAGAAUCUGGCAGCCUAGAUUCGUAAAUCAGCACUCUUUGUUCCUCUACCGGGAACAAGGGCGGGUUGUCGUUAAUGUCCCUCACCUCCACGUCCACAUGGAAAACCUGCAGCGGCCUGUCCACGAUCACCUCCAGGUGGAUGCUGCACUCCGCGCUCCGCCCGCACAGCUCCUCGCGGUCGAUCCGAGAAUUCACAAACAAAAUGCCAUUCUGCAGAUUUACCUCCAGAAGGUCCUCGCGGUCUUUGGAGGCCAUCCUGAACAGGCGCGGCACCAGCUCCGCCAGCUCCAGCCCCAGGUCCUGCGCGAUCCGGCCCACGAAGGUGCCGUGUUUGGCCUCCUCGGGUACGGAGUAGUGGAGCUGGCCGCUCCCCACCUUCCAGGCUGCGAGGAGCAGAAGCGGGAGGAGCAGACAUUGCUUUCCCAAUCUAUCCUCCGGGGUAAACACCAUGUCAAAUACCUCUGGUUUUAUUUCCAUUAGAAGAUCUUCCGCAUAAAGAUAAAAUACUGUAUGUUCCGGAAUUUAUUAAUCCAUUUCUUCUGCGUCCGCCAUCAUUCAACAGUCAGGGAAUGAUGCAGUAAUAGAAGAAAUUUGAAUGUUGGCUAGCUAUAACUUCAUGGUAGACAGCGACAUCAUGCGGCUCCAAAAGUUCCAUUCAAGACAAAACUGCCAUUAAUAGGAUAUCUACAUUCAAUGGUAUGAUUUAUUUCAACGUUAGUGAACACCUUGAAGACAUUUUUUAAAGUGAUAUUUGAAAAGAUGAUUAGACAAGUUAAAUAUGAAAAAUAUUUAAAGCCAAAACUCGAAAGUUGGACUUACAUUACCAGAAAGAUCCAAAUUUGCUUCUGGUUGUUCAUUUCUUUCUGACGUGUUAAGACUUGGAGAUAGGCCUGGGCUGAAGGCCAUGAGGUCGGUCUUGGGUGGGCCCUCGCUAGAGCACACCCUCUGCCGCCUCUGCUGUGAGUUCGACCAGCUCCCCAACGCGCUGGAGCACACCAGAGUGGGCUUGCCCGGCACAUACGCACCCUCAGUGGGCGGCACUGAGCACCGCAGCGCCGUGUACAGCAGCAGUGUGAGCACCAGCAGGCUGGACACCGCGCAGAUGGCGAUGAUCAGGUACACGUUGACAUCCACCAGCGCCGCCUCUGGGCCCGCGACACCCACCGACGCCCGCGAAGACGCCUUUGGCGCCUGGCCGCUCUCCACCAGAGAUACAAGCACAGUGGCCGUGGCUGUCAGCGCCGGCUCACCGUGAUCCUUCACUAGCACCAGAAGGCGGUAGCGCGACAAGUCAGCCUCGUCCAGGACACGAGUCGUGCUGAUCUCGCCCGUGUACAGCCCCACGCGGAACGGGAUGCGCGCGCCGCCUGCUGCCGGCUGCAGUUCAUAGGACAGCCACGCGUUGUAGCCCGAGUCGGCGUCCACUGCGCGCACCUUCGCCACCACAUGACCCGCACCCACCAAUCGCGGCACCAGCUCACUGACUGCACCAAUAGUGCCACCCACUCGAGGCGCCAGCAGCGCCGGCGCGUUGUCGUUCUCGUCCAGCACGAACACCUGCAGCGUCACGUUGCUGCCCAGAGGCGGCACGCCCGCAUCCCGCGCGCUCACCUGGAACUGCAGCAGCUCCAGCUCCUCGUGGUCCAGGGGCUGCAGUGCGUACACCUUGCCGCUCUCCGCGUGCACUGACACGUAGUUCGACAGCGCGCGCUCGCCCACCCGCCGUUCCACCAGCGAAUAGGACACCAGCGCGUUCUCCUGCGCGUCCGCGUCCCGCGCAGACACCGUGAAGAUGUGGCAGCCCGGCGGGUUGUUCUCCUUCACGAAUACUGUGUACUCGGGCUGCGCGAACGCAGGCGCGUUGUCAUUCACGUCGGCCACCUCCACGGACACCCUGGCCGUGGCCCACAGCGAAGGCGAGCCCCCGUCCCGCGCGGUCACCACCAGCUCAUAGACCGACAGGCUCUCGCGAUCCAGGGCGCUGUCCAACACCAACGAGUAGUAAUUCUUGAAGGUGGACACCAGCUUGAAGGGGACGUGGGGCAUUAAGGAGCAAGUCACCUGCCCGUUGGCACCUGAGUCACGGUCAGACACGGUGAUGAGGGCGAUGACGGUGCUGAGUGGAGCGUCCUCUCUGAUAGGCAAAUACAAUGAAGUGACCGCCAGUUCUGGAGCAUUAUCAUUUACAUCCAGCACUUUCACCAAAACCUUACAGUGAUUUGACAUCGGAGGACUUCCUUUAUCAACUGCCUUUACUUGAAUUUCGUAGGAUUUUGUUUCUUCAUAAUCCAGUUUAUCAAUUAACCUAAUUUCUCCUGAGCUGGAAUCAACUUUGAAUUUUUCUUGAAUGUCACGAGAAAUACCACUGUCAAAGGAAAAGACGACUUCACCAUUUACACCUUCGUCAGCAUCAGAGGCAUUUAAUGUGGUCACUAAUGUUCCAUUUGCUGUAGUCUCUAACAAGUGGACUCUGUAUACGGCCUGGUCAAACAGUGGGGCGUUAUCAUUAACGUCGAGGACGGUGAUCAGCAGCUCAACUGUACCUUGCAGCUCCGGUUUGCCCCCAUCAGUGGCAGUCAGUAAUAAGUGAAGUUCUGGUGUUUCUUCUCUAUCCAAAUAUUUUCUCAAUUCAAGCCAAAGAGAUUUACUCAGUUCAUCACUUGCCUCUACAUCCAAAGAGAAAUAAUCACUCGGGCUGAGCGUGUACGUUAGAAGAGCGUUAGCACCAAUGUCUGCAUCAGCAGCUCCUUCUAUCGGAAAACGCGAAUUCAGGAGUCUAGAUUCAGGAAUAAAUAUUAUUUGUUCUCUGCCCCUGAAGACGGGUGGAUUAUCGUUAAUGUCUUUCACCUUCACCUCCACAUGGAAAACCUGCAGCGGCCUGUCGGCGAUCAACUCCAGGUGGAUGCUGCACUCCGCGCUCCACUGGCACAGCUCCUCGCGAUCGAUCCGAGAAUUCACAAACAAAAUGCCAUUCUGCAGAUUUACCUCCAGAAGGUCCCUGUGUGUUUUGGACGCCACCCGGAACAGGCGAGGCACCAGCUCCGCCAGCUCCAGUCCCAGGUCCUGAGCAACGCGGCCAACGAAGGUGCCGUGUUUGGCUUCCUCCGGGAUCGAGUAGUGGAGCUGGCCGCUCCCCACCUCCCAGGCUGCGAGGAGCAGAAGCCAAAGAAGCAGAUCCCGGGCUCCCAGGCCCCCUCUCCUAGAAAACACCAUUGCAAAAGGACUACACCUUUCUUAUGCUCUCCUCUUACUUCAAAAUCAUGCCAUUUUAUCUAAUAUUUCCAAUCAUUUAUCUCUUUACCGUUUCUGUCUUCUCUCAGGCGGUGACAAAAUGGAGCUUCCUCCUUCACUUUUAGUGAUCAGUAGCUCCCUUCUAUUGACAAGACUUUGUGGUGUACAGCGACAUCAUGUGGCCAAUGUAAAUUUUAGAUCCAUUCGUUGAUUUUCAAAAUGCAAUCUAUAUCCGUCUGCAAUUUGUUAAAUGCAAUCAUUUUCAAUUUUAUGUCCUUUUAAGACCCAGAACAUUUCAAAUCUCAUUGGAGAGUGUGUAAUCCAGUAUUUUCUUUUAGUAAUGAUUACAAACAUAUUACAAUUGAAUUAGAAACUUUAAGAUCUACUUAACCUCUCCUUACAUCAUUUUAUUUAAAACGAUUUAUCAGCUUAUAUAUUUUUAUUAUUAAAUAUUUGCAACUGAAUGUCAAAGUUUUAAAAUAAGGUAGUUUGACUGAUAUGAUUCACCUUAUUCUAGGAUAGCUUGGGUGUUUUUUUUUAAAUGAUAUUAUACACACACACGUACAUAUGCACAU